GUAACAAGGUUUCCGUAGGUGAACCUGCGGAAGGAUCAUUACCGAGUGUAGGGUUCCUAGCGAGCCCAACCUCCCACCCGUGUUUACUGUACCUUAGUUGCUUCGGCGGGCCCGCCAUUCAUGGCCGCCGGGGGCUCUCAGCCCCGGGCCCGCGCCCGCCGGAGACACCACGAACUCUGUCUGAUCUAGUGAAGUCUGAGUUGAUUGUAUCGCAAUCAGUUAAAACUUUCAACAAUGGAUCUCUUGGUUCCGGCAUCGAUGAAGAACGCAGCGAAAUGCGAUAACUAGUGUGAAUUGCAGAAUUCCGUGAAUCAUCGAGUCUUUGAACGCACAUUGCGCCCCCUGGUAUUCCGGGGGGCAUGCCUGUCCGAGCGUCAUUGCUGCCCAUCAAGCACGGCUUGUGUGUUGGGUCGUCGUCCCCUCUCCGGGGGGGACGGGCCCCAAAGGCAGCGGCGGCACCGCGUCCGAUCCUCGAGCGUAUGGGGCUUUGUCACCCGCUCUGUAGGCCCGGCCGGCGCUUGCCGAACGCAAAUCAAUCUUUUUCCAGGUUGACCUCGGAUCAGGUAGGGAUACCCGCUGAACUUAAGCAUAUCAUA
rnacentral:rRNA from 1 species